GGGAGGACCCGGGAGCGGGGGCGAGGCCGGCGCCGGAAGGACGGUUCGGUUCCGGGCCGCGCAGUGUCAUGGAGUCGCUGUGGCGGCUGAAGCGGUUCGACGCUUUUCCUAAGACCCUGGAAGAUUUUCGGGUCAAGACAUGCGGAGGAGCGCUGGUGACGGCUGUUAGCGGGCUCAUCAUGGUGCUGCUUUUCUUCUCGGAGCUGCAGUACUACCUCACCAAGGAGGUUCAUCCAGAAUUGUACGUUGACAAAUCAAGGGGCGAUAAGCUGAAGAUCAAUCUAGAUGUUAUUUUUCCACAUAUGCCUUGUGCUUAUUUGAGCAUUGAUGCAAUGGAUGUAGCAGGAGAGCAGCAGCUGGAUGUAGAGCACAAUCUGUUUAAACAGCGUUUGGAUAAAGCUGGCAAUCGUGUAACUCCUGAGGCUGAGAGACAUGAGCUGGGAAAAGAAGAAGAAAAAGUGUUUGAUCCAAAUUUUUUGGAUGCUGAUCGCUGCGAGAGCUGUUAUGGGGCAGAGUCAGAGGACAUUCGGUGUUGUAAUACUUGUGACGAUGUCAGAGAAGCAUACAGGCGGCGAGGCUGGGCCUUCAAGAACCCAGAUAGCAUAGAGCAGUGCAAGAGGGAAGGGUUUAGCCAGAAAAUGCAAGAGCAGAAGAAUGAGGGCUGCCAAGUGUAUGGUUUCCUAGAGGUCAACAAGGUAGCUGGAAAUUUCCACUUUGCACCAGGAAAAAGUUUUCAACAGUCUCAUGUACAUGUUCACGAUCUGCAGAGCUUCGGACUUGAUAAUAUCAAUGUGACGCACUAUAUCAAACAUCUCUCAUUUGGAAUGGAUUAUCCAGGCAUUGUGAACCCUCUGGAUGGGACAGCCGUCAUUGCACAGCAAGCUUCCAUGAUGUUUCAAUAUUUUGUCAAAGUGGUCCCCACUGUGUAUAGGAAAGUAGAUGGUGAAGUGGUAAGAACUAAUCAGUUCUCAGUUACACGACAUGAGAAAAUAGCGAAUGGGCUGCUGGGAGACCAGGGUCUGCCUGGUGUCUUUGUGCUGUAUGAGCUUUCCCCCAUGAUGGUGAAGUUGACAGAGAAACACAGGUCCUUUACUCACUUUCUCACUGGAGUUUGUGCCAUUGUUGGAGGCAUAUUUACAGGCUGGGUCUUGUCUGUCCUGAGGAGAUGAGGACUUUAUUCUGAGCAGCAGCAGCAGCAGCAGCAGAACCUUUUUCUGUGUGGUGGACCUGGGAUUCCUUUCCUCUGACAACAGGUUGCAGGUUUCAUUGACUCCUUGAUCUAUCAUUCAGCACGUGCCAUCCAGAAGAAAAUUGAACUUGGGAAGACAACAUAAAUAAGCAAUGGCAUUGACCCAUUUAAAAACAAACAAACACAAUCAAAACAAAAACCAAACCAACCAACCAAACAAACAAAAAAAACCAAACAAAGAAACAAAAAAACCCCCAAGCCUCCAAGGAGAACUAAAUAGGCUCUUUGAAACACAAGUCAUCUGCUGAGAGUGCACAGGAGAAGGGGUUUUGAAUUUCCAGAUGGCCCUAACCACUCAUAUGUUACUGUGCCCUCAUUCUUUGGCCUUAGUCUGUGGAUAGAACAACUUGAACCUUGCUGUUAUAAAGAUUAGUUAUCAUCUGGCUCUGCAGAGCUUACUGUCAAAUUCCUUUUGUGUCAGUCCAUGUUUGUCCAGUUUUGUUCCCCUUCCCAACAGAAGUGCUGGAGAUACUGCAUUCUGUUUGCCUCUACAAAUAAUGCACUGUAUUGUCAAGAGACCUGUAAUGGAUUGAAGUUGCUAUCAAAUAAGCUUUCUAGCAAUACCAUCAGGGAUUUUCAAUUUUUCUUUAAAAAGUUUCUGGGUGUGCUAAUGCUGUAUGUCAGACCUCCAUGAGAAUGUGCUGAAUCCUAUCUGUUGCCUUCCAGCCAUCCUGGGCUGCACAAGGAGCCUAAGCAUUUGGGAUGUGCGUUCUGUGCUGAGGGAUCUCCCAGUAGUUCUUCUUAUGAAAUAUGCAAGUUGAUGUUUCCAGGGGAAAAAAAAAGUGUCUGGAAUUUUAAUUGAUUUUUUAAUUGGACUUUCUUAAUUUCCUCUUGUUGUAUGUUUUCAAAUAAAGUCCAUCCUCUGUUCUGGUAA